rnacentral:miRNA from 1 species
AUAUGAAUCACCUGGGACGUUAUUAAAAAGCAGAUCUGAUAUAGGGUGGGACCUGAGAUUCUGCAUUUCUACCAAGUUCCCAGGUGAUGGU